AGUGGCGAACGGGUGAGUAACACGUGAGCAACCUGCCCCUGACUCUGGGAUAAGCGCUGGAAACGGCGUCUAAUACUGGAUACGAGUAGCGACCGCAUGGUCAGCUACUGGAAAGAUUUAUUGGUUGGGGAUGGGCUCGCGGCCUAUCAGCUUGUUGGUGAGGUAAUGGCUCACCAAGGCGUCGACGGGUAGCCGGCCUGAGAGGGUGACCGGCCACACUGGGACUGAGACACGGCCCAGACUCCUACGGGAGGCAGCAGUGGGGAAUAUUGCACAAUGGGCGCAAGCCUGAUGCAGCAACGCCGCGUGAGGGAUGACGGCCUUCGGGUUGUAAACCUCUUUUAGCAGGGAAGAAGCGAAAGUGACGGUACCUGCAGAAAAAGCGCCGGCUAACUACGUGCCAGCAGCCGCGGUAAUACGUAGGGCGCAAGCGUUAUCCGGAAUUAUUGGGCGUAAAGAGCUCGUAGGCGGUUUGUCGCGUCUGCUGUGAAAUCCGGAGGCUCAACCUCCGGCCUGCAGUGGGUACGGGCAGACUAGAGUGCGGUAGGGGAGAUUGGAAUUCCUGGUGUAGCGGUGGAAUGCGCAGAUAUCAGGAGGAACACCGAUGGCGAANGCAGAUCUCUGGGCCGUAACUGACGCUGANGAGCGAAAGGGUGGGGAGCAAACAGGCUUAGAUACCCUGGUAGUCCACCCCGUAAACGUUGGGAACUAGUUGUGGGGUCCAUUCCACGGAUUCCGUGACGCAGCUNACGCAUUAAGUUCCCCGCCUGGGGAGUA
rnacentral:rRNA from 1 species